CCUGCCCCUAGAGUCCUUGCAGGUGUUGCUGUCUGUGUCACAUGGACGCCAGUAGGUGGCAGAGAGGAGAGAGGCUAUGCACGACUAUGCUCAGUGUUCUGACCGAUGGACAUCUGAAGGAUGUCCAUAACAUU